rnacentral:rRNA from 1 species
UACGUAGGGGGCAAGCGUUGUCCGGAAUUAUUGGGCGUAAAGCGCGCGCAGGCGGCUAUUUAAGUCUGGUGUUUAAACCUUGGGCUCAACCUGGGGUCGCACUGGAAACUGGAUGGCUUGAGUACAGAAGAGGAAAGUGGAAUUCCACGUGUAGCGGUGAAAUGCGUAGAGAUGUGGAGGAACACCAGUGGCGAAGGCGACUUUCUGGGCUGUAACUGACGCUGAGGCGCGAAAGCGUGGGGAGCAAACAGGG